rnacentral:rRNA from 1 species
GAUGAACGCUAGCGGCAGGCUUAACACAUGCAAGUCGAGGGGCAGCGCGGAGUAGCAAUACUCUGGCGGCGACCGGCGGAAGGGUGCGUAACACGUGAGCGACUUGCCCGUCACAGGGAGAUAACCGCUGGAAACGGCGACUAAUAUCCCAUAUGAUGGCGAUCUGCAUGGAUUGUCAUUGAAAGAUUCAUCGGUGACGGAUAGGCUCGCGGGGCAUUAGCUAGACGGCGGGGCAACGGCCCACCGUGGCGACGAUGCCUAGGGGUUCUGAGAGGAAGACCCCCCACACUGGGACUGAGACACGGCCCAGACUCCUACGGGAGGCAGCAGUGAGGAAUAUUGGUCAAUGGGCGGAAGCCUGAACCAGCCAUGCCGCGUGAAGGACUAAGGCCCUAUGGGUCGUAAACUUCUUUAGACGCAGAGCAAUAAGGGUCUCGUGAGAUCCGAUGAGAGUAUGCGUAGAAUAAGCAUCGGCUAACUCCGUGCCAGCAGCCGCGGUAAUACGGGGGAUGCGAGCGUUAUCCGGAUUUAUUGGGUUUAAAGGGAGCGUAGGCGGAUGCUUAAGUCAGUUGUGAAAGUUUGCGGCUCAACCGUAAAAUUGCAGUUGAUACUGGGCGUCUUGAGUACAGUAGAGGCAGGCGGAAUUCGUGGUGUAGCGGUGAAAUGCUUAGAUAUCACGAAGAACUCCGAUCGCGAAGGCAGCCUGCCGGACUGUCACUGACGCUGAUGCUCGAAAGUGUGGGUAUCAAACAGG